AUCAAUUCUUGGAUUGGAAUAUGAAUCUGUCUUAGACAAAGAGUUCACACGCUUCAGGUCUGUACAACAGCGAAAAGUACCAUCAAGCUUCGGUACUAGGAUGCACGGCGAGCUCCACUCACUGUCACUUGGUUCAAUGAUGUCAUUCUCCAACAUGUAGUUGACCUUUUUUCGGAGAUGUUCCAACUUGAGUGGGUUAAGUCGAUGAGGAUGUUGUUUAACAGGUCUUGAAUCACCAACGUCAAUAUCAUGACUAACUAAAUCGGUACGACCAGGUACAUCCGGAAAUAACUGUACGUAUUCACGAAGCAAAUCUGACAAUUAACAUUGCUGUUCUGCAGUAAGGGAUCCCGGACGAGCCCCCAAUUUGUUACGAUCAAGCAAAUUCUUAUGUAUAAAAGGGGUGAACUUCUGAAGGCAACAACAGAAAUUGUACAAUCAGUGAAUUAAUAUUCAAAGAUGAAAUUAUGUAACAAAAGGUAUACUACCCAAAGAAUUUCAUGUCCAGUCCUCGAUUGUUUAAAAGGUCUUGUGCAGAAGAUCAGAAACUAAUAUAUCACAUAUGGCUCAAGUUGCAUGACAUAAACCUCACUAAAUAUCAAUCGAAGAUCAACAAAGAUUUCGGCACCUACCAGGCGAAUGGAUUCCUCUAAUACUGCCGAGAAGCACUAUACCAAAAGAAAUGAACUUCGGAUUUUGGGC